AGAGAAAUGCGUAUUAUGGAGCAAAAUGUAUUUGGGUUCCAAAAGGAACUAAAUCUAACGUUCAAGGACCCAAGAGUAUUUGGGUACCAAAGCACACAACGUGAAUUUGUUUUGUAGGUACCACAAUCAAGGAAUGGUUGAGAAGUUCCUUGAUGAAAGCUUGUGAGGAUAAUCAUUUGAGCAUGAUCUAGGAGAAAAAGAUGAGGCAAGAUGAUUUAAUUGUUUUGGUAAUAAUUCUUGCCAUAUUAAUUUUGUUGAAUGAAUUAUGAUAAAUGAAUUUGCG
rnacentral:lncRNA from 1 species